rnacentral:misc_RNA from 1 species
CUACUUUGAAUUCCCAGCCAUAUCUGACUAUAACUAAUUAAAUAUAGCCUCAUUAAAAUCUAGACAGUGCUACAAUUUUGCUAUAAUGGUUCUACAUUCACCUAACAAUUAUGCUCAAUGCCCCAAGUAGAGUUACAGGCAGAGUCAGUUCAAAGACACUGUCAAGAUCUUCCAAGAACAAAUACACUCAACACAUUUCAUAGUAGAUUUCCAAAAAUCAACAGCAAUAGUAACUAGUUUUU